rnacentral:rRNA from 1 species
UACGUAGGUGGCAAGCGUUGUCCGGAAUUAUUGGGCGUAAAGCGCGCGCAGGCGGUCCUUUAAGUCUGAUGUGAAAGCCCACGGCUCAACCGUGGAGGGUCAUUGGAAACUGGGGGACUUGAGUGCAGAAGAGGAGAGUAGAAUUCCUAGUGUAGCGGUGAAAUGCGUAGAUAUUAGGAGGAAUACCAGUUGCGAAGGCGGCUCUCUGGACUGUAACUGACACUGAGGCACGAAAGCGUGGGGAGCAAACAGGAUUAGAUACCCU